rnacentral:rRNA from 1 species
UGACUUUCGGAGGAGGUAAUGACCAGUUCCAUUGAUGCCUUUCGGUAUUGUGGAUAGGGGUACGGUUUUCCACCGUACCGAAACCUAGCAGAGGGCCAGUCUGGUGCCAGCAGCUGCGGUAAUUCCAGCUCUGCGAGUUUGCUCCCAUAUUGUUGCAGUUAAAACGCCCGUAGUCUGAAUUGGCCAGCAAUGGUCGUAUGUAUUUAUACGUUCACUGUGAACAAAUCAGGACGCUUAGAGUAUGGCUACAUGAAUGACUCAGCGCAGUAUGAAGUCUUUGUUUUCUUCCGAAAACAAGCUCAACGAGAGCCAUCGGGGGUAGAUCUAUCUCAUGACGAGUGGUGGAAUACUUUGACUCAUGAGAGAGAAUCUGAGGCGAAGGCGUCUACCUAGAGGGUUUCUGUCGAUCAAGGGCGAGAGUAGGAGUAUCCAACAGGAUUAGAGACCCUGGUAGUUCCUACCUUAAACGAUGCCGACAGGAGUUUGUCACUUAUUAGUGGCAGAAUCUUUGGAGAAAUCAUAGUUCUUGGGCUCUGGGGGAACUACGACCGCAAGGCUGAAACUUGAAGGAAUUGACGGAAGGGCACACCAGGGGUGGAGCCUGUGGCUUAAUUUGAAUCAACACGGGGAAACUUACCAGGACCAGAUGUUUUUUAUGACUGACAGGCUUUGGGUCUUUCAGGAUAUUGCUUUUGGUGGUGCAUGGCCGUUGGUGGUGCGUGGGUUGACCUGUCUAGCGUUGAUUCAGCUAACGAGCGAGAUUAUCGCCAAUUAUCUACUUCGUCUAAGUCUUUAGAUGGAAGUUCUAAUUGGGACUCCCUGCGAUUUUAGCAGGUGGAAGAGGGUAGCAAUAACAGGUCCGUGAUGCCCUUUAGAUGCUCUGGGCUGCACGCGUGCUACAAUGUUAGGAUCAAUAGGACUGCAAAGCCGAGAGGCCGCGCUACUCUUAUAAUCCCUAACGUAGUUGGGAUUGACGUUUGUAAUCAGCGUCAUGAACCAGGAAUCCCUUGUAAAUGUGUGUCAACAACGCACGUUGAAUACGUCCCUGCCCUUUGUACACACCGCCCGUCGCUCCUACCGAUUGGAUGACUCGGUGAAAUCACCGGAUGCUUACGAGCAGAAAGUGAU